AACUUUCGACAAGGCAUCACUUGGUUCUGGCAUCGAUGAAGAACGCAGCGAAAUGCGAUAAGUAAUGUGAAUUGCAGAAUUCAGUGAAUCAUCGAAUCUUUGAACGCACCUUGCACCCUUUGGCAUUCCGAAGGGUAUGCUCGUUUGAGUGUCAUUGUACUCUCACACUCCCAAUCCCUUUGGAUUGGGAGCGGUGGACUUGGGUGUUGCCGCUUGACUGAGGCUCACCUGAAAUAUGUUAGUGCAUCUCUUGAUUGGACAUAGUACGGCGUGAUAAGUGUCUUCGCCGGCUCCUCGCAAAGAGGGUGGCCGAUCGGGAGCUCUGUUGCUUCAAACAGUCUUCGGACAAUCUUCUGACAACUUGACCUCAAAUCGAGUAGGACUACCCGCUGAGCUUAAGCAUAUCAAUAAGCGGAGGCU
rnacentral:misc_RNA from 1 species